AUUGAACGCUGGCGGCAUGGCUAAAGCAUGCAAGUCGUACGAGAACCGCGCAAGCGGGGACAGUGGCGGAAGGGCGAGUAAUGCGCUCCUACGUGCCCCAAGGUGGGGGAUAGGUCGGGGAAACUCGGCGUAAUACCCCAUGUGCUCUUCGGAGGAAAGCUUUUGCGUCUCGGGAGCGGGGAGCGUCCUAUCAGGUAGUUGGAGGGGUAACGGCCCACCAAGCCAAUGACGGGUAGCGGGUGUGAGAGCACGACCCGCCGCAUCGGGACUGAGACACUGCCCGGGACUCCUACGGGAGGCUGCAGCGACGAAUAUUCCGCAAUGCACGAAAGUGUGACGGAGCAAUGCCGCGUGCAGGA
rnacentral:rRNA from 1 species